rnacentral:rRNA from 1 species
CAGGGAUUCCCUAGUAACGGCGAGUGAAGCGGGAACAGCUCAAAUUUGAAAUCUGGCCCUUGGGUCCGAGUUGUAAUUUGCAGAGGAUGCUUUUGGUGCGGUGCCUUCCGAGUUCCCUGGAACGGGACGCCUUAGAGGGUGAGAGCCCCGUACGGUUGGCCACCAAGCCUGUGUAAAGCUCCUUCGACGAGUCGAGUAGUUUGGGAAUGCUGCUCAAAAUGGGAGGUAUAUUUCUUCUAAAGCUAAAUACUGGCCAGAGACCGAUAGCGCACAAGUAGAGUGAUCGAAAGAUGAAAAGCACUUUGAAAAGAGGGUUAAAUAGCACGUGAAAUUGUUGAAAGGGAAGGAUUUAUGACCAGACUUUUUCUGGGGGGAUCAUCCGGUGUUCUCACCGGUGCACUUCCCCCAGUUGAGGCCAGCAUCGGUUUCUGCCGGGGGAUAAAAGCUUUGGGAAUGUGGCUCCUUCGGGAGUGUUAUAGCCCGUUGCAUAAUACCCUGGCGGGGACCGAGGUUCGCGCAUUGCAAGGAUGCUGGCGUAAUGGUUAUUAAUCACCCGUCUUGAAACACGGACCAAGGAGUCGAACAUUUGUGCGAGUGUUUGGGUGUUAAACCCUCACGCGUAAUGAAAGUGAACGGAGGUGAGAGCCUUUAGGGGUGCAUCAUCGACCGAUCCUGAUGUCUUCGGAUGGAUUUGAGUAAGAGCAUAACUGUUCGGACCCGAAAGAUGGUGAACUAUGCGUGGAUAGGGUGAAGCCAGAGGAAACUCUGGUGGAGGCUCGCAGCGGUUCUGACGUGCAAAUCGAUCGUCAAAUCUGCGCAUGGGGGCGAAAGACUAAU